GAAGAGCCGGUUACUGAAUUUCCCUCACUUUUCUGCUCAAGCCAAAAGGCCUGCUGUUUACCUGCAAAUUAUAACAAGUAACUGAGGCCCAGAGGGAGUUCCUUCCCUGCUCUUGACUUGCUCGUGGGUUUACAUCUAAGAGAGGGGAAGGGAAGAAGAGAGGGAAACAUCAAUGCGUGGUUGCCUCUCACAUGCCCCCUACUAGGGACCUGGCCUACAACCCAGGCAUGUGCCCUGACUGGGAAUCGAACCAGUGAUCCUUUGGUUCAUAGGCUGACGCUUGACCCACUGAGCCACACUAGCCAGACCAUGAUGAAAAAAAAAGUCAUCACAGGGAAACACUUUGCUGAUGUGGAAGACAUAAAACACAAAACAACAGAAGCACUAAAAGGCAUCAAAAUCUAUGAGUUCCAAAACUCUUCUGAGCAGUGGAAAAUAACGUCUCUAUAGGUGUAUUGCAUCAAAUGGACAGUACUUUGAAGUGAAGUCCUAUGAAAUUCAGAGCAUGUACAAGUAGCUAGGAGCCUCAGCUUACUUAAUAGUCUACUUCUGGACCUCAGUGGAAUGGAUUCUCAGCUGCCCUGGCAUUUUGGAACCCCCCAGCUCUCCUCUCCUGGUCCUCAUCUGGUGAUUGCUGCUGGCCUCCAGCUCCAGCAGAGGCCUGGGGUAGACAGAAGGGUUGCUGUUACUCCGAGACAUCUCAGGGCAAGCUGUGACAACAGCCAUCCUCAUCCCAGACUGGCAGACUAUGGAGUGUUCACAGGUGACUGAUGGGUGGAAAAGAGCUUCUUAC